UACGGGGGGGGGCAAGCGUUGUUCGGAAUUACUGGGCGUAAAGGGCUUGUAGGUGGCCAACUAAGUCAGACGUGAAAUCCCUCGGCUUAACCGGGGAACUGCGUCUGAUACUGGAUGGCUUGAGUGUGGGAGAGGGAUGCGGAAUUCCAGGUGUAGCGGUGAAAUGCGUAGAUAUCUGGAGGAACACCAAUAGCGAAGGCAGCUCGCUGGGACGGUACUGACGCUAAGGCGCGAAAGCGUGGGGAGCGAACAGG
rnacentral:rRNA from 1 species